rnacentral:rRNA from 1 species
UUUCCUACGGGGGGCAGCAGUGGGGGAUAUUGCACAAUGGGGGGAACCCUGAUGCAGCGACGCCGCGUGGGUGAAGGAGCGUUUCGGCGCGUAAAGCCCUAUCGGCAGGGAAGAAGGAGGACGGUACCUGACUAAGAAGCCCCGGCUAACUACGUGCCAGCAGCCGCGGUAAUACGUAGGGGGCAAGCGUUAUCCGGAUUUACUGGGUGUAAAGAGCGCGUAGGCGGGGGGGCAAGUCA